UGGGGAAUAUUGGACAAUGGGCGCAAGCCUGAUCCAGCAAUGCCGCGUGGAUGAAGAAGGUCUUCGGAUUGUAAAGUCCUUUCGGCGGGGACGAUGAUGACGGUACCCGCAGAAGAAGCCCCGGCUAACUUCGUGCCAGCAGCCGCGGUAAUACGAAGGGGGCUAGCGUUGCUCGGAAUGACUGGGCGUAAAGGGCGCGUAGGCGGCUUGGCUUGUUAGACGUGAAAUUCCUGGGCUCAACCUGGGGACUGCGUUUAAGACGGCUGGGCUGGAGUUCGGAAGAGGGUCGUGGAAUUCCCAGUGUAGAGGUGAAAUUCGUAGAUAUUGGGAAGAACACCGGUGGCGAAGGCGGCGACCUGGUCCGAUACUGACGCUGAGGCGCGAAAGCGUGGGGAGCAAACAGGAUUAGAUACCCCCGUAGUCC
rnacentral:rRNA from 1 species